UUUCCGUAGGUGAACCUGCGGAAGGAUCAUUAUUGUAUAACCGAGGUGCAAGGGCUGUCGCUGACCCGAAAGGUCGUGCACGCCCGAGUGCCCUCACACACAUCCAUCUCACCCCUAUGUGCACCACCGCGUGGGUCCCCCUUUGGCUUGUUCGGAGGGGGGCUUACGUUUUCACACAAACUUUGUAUGCAGUGUAGAAUGUAUUUUUUGUUUUUGCGAUCACGCAAUCAAUACAACUUUCAACAACGGAUCUCUUGGCUCUCGCAUCGAUGAAGAACGCGGC
rnacentral:misc_RNA from 1 species